AGAUUCAAUUGAUCAGCCACGGAAAGAGUUGCCAACCACUAAAUCAGUCACUAGAUCAAUCUGCCCAGGGCCUCAUCCAACUUGACCUUGAAUAUCUCCAGGCACAGGGAAGUCACUUAUCUGAGUAUAAUUUUCCAGCACCUCACCAUCCCAGUGAAAAAUGAAAUCCCGACAUCUGAUCUAAGCCUCUCCCUCUUGUCCUAUCAGCCUCUGCCAUGCAAACAUUUCAUUCUCCUCCUUCUUCUUCAAGACCAAUUUAGAGAGAAAAAUAAGCAUGGGAUUGGAGAUUUUAAGGUGGUUCAAAGAGACAGAAGGCAGCAAUACAAAGUAACCAAGGCUACAGCUAUUCCUCAGGAAGUGAAGAAACAGUCAUCUCCUGGACAAUUUUUGGCAAUCAGUCUAUUGAGAGUGCGGAUCACUCUCAGUACAGCUGUUUGGAUGAAACCACAUUCUUACAGAGAUAAGAGAGCUUUGUAUUAUGGUUGUAGUUCCUCCUUGCCAGCUGG
ensembl:lncRNA